rnacentral:rRNA from 1 species
UUCCGGUUGAUCCCGCCGGAGGCCACUGCUAUUGGGAUCCGACUAAGCCAUGCGAGUCGAGAGGGUUCGGCCCUCGGCAGACUGCUCAGUAACACGUGGAUAACCUAACCUUAGGUGGAAGAUAACCUCGGGAAACUGAGAAUAAUAUUCCAUAGAUCUAGGAUGCUGGAAUGCAUCUAGAUUGAAAGUUCCGAUGCCUAAGGAUGGGUCUGCGGACUAUCAGGUUGUAGUCAGGGUAAAGACCUGACUAGCCUACGACGGAUAUGGGUUGUGAGAGCAAUAGCCCAGAGACGAUAUCUGAGACACGAUAUCGGGCCCUACGGGGCGCAGCAGGCGCGAAAUCUUCACAAUGUGCGAAAGCACGAUGAGGGGAUCCCAAGUGCUGGCACGUAAGUGUCAGCUGUUUCUUAGUCUAAAAAACUGAGAGAGUAAGGGCUGGGUAAGACGGGUGCCAGCCGCCGCGGUAAUACCUGCAGCUCAAGUGGUGGCCGCUAUUAUUGGGCCUAAAACGUCCGUAGCCUGUUUAGUAAAUGCUUGGGUAAAUUGUGUAGCUUAACUAUACGAAUACCGGGUAGACUGCUAAACUUGGGACCGGGAGAGGCUAGAGGUACUCCUGGGGUAGAGGUGAAAUUCUGUAAUCCUAGGGGGACCACCAGUGGCGAAGGCGUCUAGCUAGAACGGGUCUGACGGUGAGGGACGAAGCCCUGGGGCGCAAACCGGAUUAGAUACCCGGGUAGUCCAGGGUGUAAACGCUGCUUGCUUGAUGUUAGUUGGGCUCCGAGCCCAACUAGUGUCGGAGAGAAGUUGUUAAGCAAGCUGCCUGGGAAGUACGGUCGCAAGACUGAAACUUAAAGGAAUUGGCGGGGGAGCACAGCAACGGGUGGAGCGUGCGGUUUAAUUGGAUUCAACGCCGGGAAUCACUAGUGCGGCCGCCUGCAGGUCGACCAUAU